rnacentral:rRNA from 1 species
UUGAACGCUGGCGGCAUGCCUUACCCCUGCAAGUCGAACGGCAGCACGGGUGCUUGCACCUGGUGGCGAGUGGCGAACGGGUGAGUAAUACAUCGGAACAUGUCCUGUAGUGGGGGAUAGCCCGGCGAAAGCCGGAUUAAUACCGCAUACGAUCCACGGAUGAAAGCGGGGGACCUUCGGGCCUCGCGCUAUAGGGUUGGCCGAUGGCUGAUUAGCUAGUUGGUGGGGUAAAGGCCUACCAAGGCGACGAUCAGUAGCUGGUCUGAGAGGACGACCAGCCACACUGGGACUGAGACACGGCCCAGACUCCUACGGGAGGCAGCAGUGGGGAAUUUUGGACAAUGGGCGAAAGCCUGAUCCAGCAAUGCCGCGUGUGUGAAGAAGGCCUUCGGGUUGUAAAGCACUUUUGUCCGGAAAGAAAUCCUUGGCUCUAAUACAGUCGGGGGAUGACGGUACCGGAAGAAUAAGCACCGGCUAACUACGUG